UGCAAGUCGAACGGAAGGCCGGGUGCUUGCACCUGGUACUCGAGUGGCGAACGGGUGAGUAACACGUGGGUGAUCUGCCCUGCACUUCGGGAUAAGCCUGGGAAACUGGGUCUAAUACCGGAUAGGACCACUGGUUGGUACUGGUGGUGGAAAGUUUUUCGGUGCAGGAUGAGCUCGCGGCCUAUCAGCUUGUUGGUGGGGUAAUGGCCUACCAAGGCGGCGACGGGUAGCCGGCCUGAGAGGGUGGACGGCCACAUUGGGACUGAGACACGGCCCAGACUCCUACGGGAGGCAGCAGUGGGGAAUAUUGCACAAUGGGCGCAAGCCUGAUGCAGCGACGCCGCGUGGGGGAUGACGGCCUUCGGGUUGUAAACUCCUUUCAACCAUGACGAAGCUUUUGUGACGGUAGUGGUAGAAGAAGCACCGGCUAACUACGUGCCAGCAGCCGCGGUAAUACGUAGGGUGCGAGCGUUGUCCGGAAUUACUGGGCGUAAAGAGCUCGUAGGUGGUUUGUCGCGUCGUCUGUGAAAUUCCGGGGCUCAACUCCGGGCGUGCAGGCGAUACGGGCAUAACUUGAGUGCUGUAGGGGAGACUGGAAUUCCUGGUGUAGCGGUGAAAUGCGCAGAUAUCAGGAGGAACACCGAUGGCGAAGGCAGGUCUCUGGGCAGUAACUGACGCUGAGGAGCGAAAGCAUGGGUA
rnacentral:rRNA from 1 species